CUUGAGACGGUGGUGGAAGGUGUAUUAAUGCAAUAAAAUUAGUAUCAUAGAGAAAAUAUAGAAGGAAGUCGAACUUACAGAGUGUGGAAAUAACAUUAGGGGAAAUGAUGCAUAAGGCAUAUUGAGGUAUAAGGUAUACUGAGGUAAAAGUGAUAAUGGAGUAUCAGUGAUAAUGAGGUAUAAGGGUGUAAGGGAUGCUGUGGUAUUAGUUAUAAUAAAGUAUAAAGGCUAAUGAGCAGUAAGGAAUCGCGAGGUGUAAGGGGUAAUGAGGUGUAAGAGAUAAUGAAGUUUAAGGGAUAAUGAGAUGUAACUGAUAUUUAGGAAUAAGGUAUAGUGAGGUGUUGGGGAUUCGGUGUAAGAGGAUCAUUUGAUGUAUAAAUGCUGACGUAUAAAGGAAAAUGAGGCAUAAAAUUUGAGAUACAAGAACUUUAUCAUAUGCACAAACUCCGAUUGAAACGAGUCACUCAAAACUAUACAUAACUGUUAGAGAUUUCCUCACCGCCACUCAGCAGCCCGAUGCGCGACAGCAUGCUCUUCCAGGUUUUGACAUUGUCUCUGUUUACCGUUACACGUGUGUUUGUUAUGAUUUAUGUCAUGUCUCCGCCCCUGUCAUGUUAUUGUUGUCUCCUUAUGUAUCUCAGCUUUUUAUGUUUUAACCCCUCGUGUGUCUUUGUUCAUUCCGAUGUAUUGCGUUUCUGUGGCUAUGUCCAGAGCCAUACCAAGCCUCCAUUCCACGUUCACUGAUUUCAUGGUUUGUGAUCCUGUUUACGUCUCACGUUUAUUGAUUCUUGACUUGCCUAGUUCGUGUUCUUUGUAGAUCGCUUGACCCACGCCGGUCCUCUGACUACAUUCUUUCUGAUUGUUUUGGAUUUUGUCUGCCUGCCUCAUAAUAAAUCAGCUCUCAACUACACUUGCAUUAUCCUUGCAAACGUGACAGUAAAUAAUCUUAUUAUUUAAACACUUUCCAUGGUUUAUACAAAUAAAAACUAUGUAUACUUGUUAAGUUCUUUGUCGGAUAGCAGUCAGAACCAAAAUUUGAACCCUGCUCUGGCUGAUUUCCUCUCGUCUGGUACCAGGAAGAAGUCACACCGACACCAUAGUUCAGUGGGGGAAAUAAGUAUUAGACGCGUAAACAUUUUUCUCAGUAAAUAUAUUUCCAAUGAGGUUAUUCACAUGACAUUUUCACCAGACAUCAAUAUUAACUCAAGAAAUCUACACAUAUAAAGAAUUAAUUCUUCCUUCAAAAAAAUUCUCACCAGAGUCAUGGGAUGGUCACACUAGGCUUUAGCACACAAACUCAUCCUGUGUUUGGAGAAGCUCUCCUCAUUUACUGACAGAUGUCCUGCUGGUGGAGGACAAAACUGAUGGAGAACUUUUACCAGUAGCAGCACCUUCUGAGACAGUGUGUCAGAGAGUUGUUCUUAAUGAACUUGUUCAUCUCAGGCAUUUCUUCAUGUCAGGAAUUUGUUUGUAAAUUAUUAGUUUGACUAAAAAGUUUGACUUGUUAAAGGCUUGAGCUCGUCAGCCAUAUGUAUGGAAAUGUAUUUGACAUUAUACUUCAAAAAUUAAUGUUACAAUGUUUUGCUAGUAUGUAACAUUAAAAGAAAUAUUUGCAACUGUUUGCAUUAGUGAUGUCUGUUUUUUCAUUACUUUAUUAAAACCCAUUAUUAUUUAGUAGGUACAUUUACAAAUAAACUAUUUUAAAGGCAUCUAUAACACAUAAUAAACACAUCUUCACGAUUUCUUAACAUUGGCAUUAUGGAAACUGCAUUCUAUGCUUUCACUUUACUUAAAGCUACCAAUGAUGCAUUUAUAAAAGGUUAGUAAUUGUAUUAUCACUUACUAAUAAUUAUUUAUAAGGCAGCACAACAUAACUAUCAACAACAAUAUAAAAUAAUUCACUUAUUAAACCUGUAAAUAAAUCUGCAUUACUAAUAAGUCAUUAUAACUAUAAUAUGAUAACAUUAUAAAAAAUUACAUACAUUUCGAGCAUACAUUACCUACUUUCACCUGAAAAUAGUUUCACCUCUGGCUUGCUCAUUAGAGAUGUGAACGUACAUCUGGAUUUCUGUAAAGCUGUUUGUGACAAUGUGUAUUUUUAAAACAGCAAUGCAAAUAAAAUAAAAAUAAAAUUAAGGAACCUCUAGCCAGUGAUCAACACAAAGCUAGUAGAGUGAGAAACUUGUCACCUUCAGAUUCGAUAUAGAAUACUGACUCCGUGUGCAUGCUGACACUUAUCUCCUUCUCUCCAAAUCAUUUUCAGCUCCUGUUGAACACAAACAGCAGAUUUAGCACUGAGGGUGGUUUUGUUUUUCAUCAUGGCAUGUCAUUUUCCCUGGAUGUUCAGGCCUGCACUUUUCAUACUCUUUAUAAAUGCUAAUCACGUUCUCCUUGGAUUUGCAAUCCAUUAAGUUAAACUAUCAGGUUUAUUUAUUCUGAUUUACUUCUUUCUAAACACAAUUCUAAGUAUUAGUAUUAUCAAUUCUUGUUUGAUUAAAAUAAUGAAUUGUGUCCAUCAGUUUAUUGUGUGAUUCUGUUGCCAUUUGUUGAUUGUAGACUUAAUGAUGCUAUUUACUCAGAUCAAUUUGAUAAAAUAAAACAAAACCUGACCCAGUCGUCUAGCCAUCACAGUUUCUCCCUUGUCAAAGUCGCUCAGAUCCAUACGCUUUAAUUCUUCUCUUUGUCAAAGAAAUUUCUUUUACAAAAUGUGGAGCCCUCAUGCCAUGUGUUUGGGGUGGAGUCAUCCUGGAAGUGGCCACACCCAUCAUAGGAUCAACUUUGUACUGAUUUGCAGUAAUGCUUGCCUUUAAGGGGGUAAGUGGAGCUACACCAUGUGAUCAAAACUAAAUUCCCCCCACAGCAUUACAGAGUCACUGUUUUUUUUCUUUUGUCACCCAAAAGAAACCCAUUGUACAUUUUAGAUGGGGUUAUAGCUCCAUCCAAAACUAUUAUAGAACUAUGGUGUGGGGAUGGGUGAGGUGUGAUGCACUGUUGGGCUUGAAGGCAAGCUUCAUUAUUUUUAAAUCUGACAGAGGUGCCUUUCACAAGCCAGUGAAGAAAUCACAAUGUGGAGGGACAUGGGUGAAGCUAAAAAGACGGCAGGAAAGGUUUGCAAUAACCACAGUUUGUACUACAGCCUACUAGCUAAUAGUUAGGGUUAUCAUUAGUAUAAUGAGUCUUUAUUGAUCACAUAUACUAUACUAUUAGCACAGUGAAAUUCUUUUCUUCCCAUACCCCAGCAUAUCAGGAAGUUGGGGUCAGAGUGCAGGGUCAGCCAUGAUACAGCUGGAACAGAGAGGGUUAAGCGGCUUGCCCAACAGUGGCAGCUUGGCUGGGGCUUGAACCCCCGAUCAGUAACCCAGAGCCUUAACCACUAAGCCACCACUGCUCCUAUGGCUAACACUAUGGGAAUUCUGUCCCUGUGGUGGAAUCCCAACCCUGCCAAAAUAAUAACUAAAUAAAUAAAUGAAUCUACAAAGAAAUAUAAAAAAGCAAAAGGAAAUGAGCAUUUACUCUUUUAUUUCCUUAUUUAUGUAUUAUUGUAUUUUCCCCACAUUUAUUUAUUCAUUCAUUUAUUUAUUCAUACAUACAGUGGAGGAAAUAAGUAUUGAACACGUCAAAAAAAAAUUCAGUAAAUAUAUUUCCAAUGAGGUUACUCACAUGAAAUUUUCACCAGACAUCAGUAUUAACUCAAGAAAUCCACAAAUAUAAAGAAUUCACAACAUUAAAGUCCGUGAAUGACGUUAUGUGUAAUAAAGAGGAAUGAUACGGGAAAAAAGUAUUGAACACGCUAACUGAAAUGUAUUUAAUACUUAGUGGAGAAGCCUUUGUUUGUAAUUACAGCUUCAAGACGCUUCCUGUAUGAAGAAAUUAAGGUGCCACAGUAUUCAGGUGUCACGAUUUCCCCUCGCACAACGCUGGAGCAUGCUGCACGGUUCCGGGUUUGUCAGUGACACUGACUUUGUUUACUUUUGACACUUGUGUUUUGUUGUGAUUUUUGUUCUGUCUCCGCCCUUGUAUUGUCAUUGGUUGUUUCCCUUAUGUGCCAGCAUUGUUCUUAGCUGUUUUGUGUUUCACCCCGAUUACAUUCGUUAUUUAAAGCCUUUGUGUAUCUAUGUACGGAGCGAAGUGCCAAGCCGUGGUUCGUGGGUUUUGAGCUUGCAUCUAGUUUCUCAUUUUGUGGUUUGCCGUGCCUAGUUUAUGCCCAUUUGCCGAUCGCCCAACCCAUUGCCUGUUUUUGACCAUGCUACUGUCUCACGUUUUGGAUUUGUAUGUCUAUCUCUACUCCAAUAAAGCUCUUAUCUGCAAUUGCAUCCAUCCUGACCUCCACAACAUUCCGUUACAUGACAUCAGGUGUGAUUUUGGCCCAUUCUUCUAAACAGAUUGUCUUUAAAUCUUGCUCAAUUGGAUUCGAGUCAGGUGAUUGACUGGGUCGUUCGAACACCUUGAUUUUUUUUCUCUGAAACCAACUGAGAGUUUCCUUUGCUGUAUGCUUUGCAUCGUUGUCCUGCUGGAAGCUCCACCCACGUCUCAUCUUCAUCAUCCUGGUGGAUGGCAGCAGAUUCUUCUCAAGAAUCUCCCGGUAAAGGGCUUCAUUCAUCGUUCCUUCAGUUAUAUGAAGUCUGCAAGUACCAUGUGAUGAAAAACAGCCCCACACCAUGAUGCUUCUAUCUCCACACUUCACUGUUGAUUGUGUUUUUAGGGAGAUGUGCAGUGCUAUUUUAUUCUCCAAACAUGGUGUGUAGUAUGACAACCAAAAAGUUAAAUUUUGCUCUCGUCUGACCAGACUACACUCUCCCAGUAUUUCACUGGCUUGUCCAAAUGAGUUGUAGCAAACUUUAAACGAGCUUCGACAUGCCUUUUCUUUAGUUAUGGAGUCUUGCAGGUGAGCGUGAACAGUGGAGUGCAUUGCCUAUUGUUUUCUCUGUGACGAUGGCACCUGCUGCCUCCAAGUGUUUCUGGAGCUCUUUCUGAGUGGUCCUUGGCUCUUGGGCUACUCUUCUGACUAUUCUUCUGACUCCCUGGUCAGAAAUCUUGCGAGGAGCUCCUGUGCUUGGCCAGUUGAUGACGGAGUGAUGUUGCUUCCGCUUGUGGAUAACGGCCCCAAUAGUGCUUACUGGAGGAUUCAGAAGUUUUGAAAUACGUCUGUAUCCGAUUCCAUCAAUAUGUUUCACAACAAUAAGGUUGUGAAGGUCUUGGGAGAGCUCUUUGCAUUUACCCAUCAUGAGAUGUUUCUUGUGUGACACAAGGUGGUUACAAAAAGCCUUUUUAAUAGACCAUCAAUUUACUAACCCAGCUGUUAUUAAUUUGCACAGAUAGGGGGUAUACUUACUUUCUAAAUACUUAUGGAUUUCAGCUGGUUCCUUGCCUUACCUGACCUUGGAGAACUGCUUUCUGUCAUGACUUGAGGGUUGAGACAGAUCCAGGUGCAGAAUUUAAGGUUUUAAUAAAUAAGCAAACAAAAUACAAAAGACACUAUGACUAUGAAAACAUUGUGGCAAGACGAAAGAGAAACUAAAGAACAUAAACAUGGCAACAGAGACAAAGGCAUAGAAAGACUAACGUGAGACAAAGAAAGCAGUGCAAACUGUGGCUAUAUACACAAGUGCUCAUUAACAAGAAAGUGAUUCAGGUGCAGGUGGUCAUUUGACUGAUGAGUAAGGUGCAGUGGCUGCUGGGAACUGAAGUCCAGAGUUCCUUCUCUGAUACAUGACACUUUUUCUUAACAUGUUCAAUUCGUUUUUCCUGUGUCAUUUCACUUUAUUACACAUAACUUUAUUUAUGGACUUUAAUGUUGUGAAUUUUUUAUAUUUGCAGAUUUCUUGACCUUUAUUUAACUGUGAAUUUUUUAUAUUUCCAGAUUUCAUGACCCAUCUGUUGCAUUUACUUUUGUCGUACCACAAGCUCUCACAGUGGCCUCAGAGCUUCGCCCUUGCCCCUGCCAGCACUCUGAUCAUGAUUGUUAUGUGUGAAAUAAAACAUGCCACCCCAUUACUGUGCAUGCUUUACUUCGGGUAAAAACCAUAUGAGGGCUUCCUGUGAAACCUAUUUUUAAAUGUUUUAUCACUCUUUACCAUUUAUAUACUCAGCAGACCCCCUGCUUUAAUUUACUCAGUUAUUUUCCACCAGCAUCAGCUACAGUAUGUUCUCCUGUACUCAUUCAUUUCUGCUGGUUCUUUUGGUGAUCACCUGCUUUCAUUCCUACACAGCAGGCAACGAUGAAUUCAUGACCCAGUUUUGUUUAAACAUGAAUACAGCUGAACACAUGGAUUCCUCAACAGUGCAAGGUAGAAAAAAUUCUACACACUUCUCUUAUUUAGCUACAAAGAGUCCAGUUCAGCAGGAUUACACAGAAGAACAACUACACACAGUGACAUCACAUGGAAUCGCAAAUGAUUCACAACAGCUCCGGGAAGCUCAGGAGGACCCAGACCCCAUCAGGGAAGGUCAGGAGGACCCAGACCCCAUCAGGGAAGGUCAGGAGGACCCAGACCCCAUCACGGAAGGUCAGGAGGACCCAGACCCCAUCAGGGACGCUCAGGAGGACCCAGAUCCCAUCAGGGAAGGUCAGGAGGAUCCACACCCUGUCAGGGAAGGUCAGGAGGACCCACACCCCUUCAGAAAAGGUCAGGAGGACCCACACCCCGUCAGGAAAUUUCAGGAGGACCCACACACCUUCUGGAAAGGUCAGGAGAAGGAGAUGUUUUAUGAUCUAGGAUUCUUCAUUCAGGUCACGAAAUCAGUUGUAGAAAUCUUAAUGUGCGUAAGAUGUCUAAUGGCCAGAAAUACCAUUUACUCAUUUGUGUGUGUGUGUGUGUGUGUGUGUGUGUGUGUGUGUGUGUGAAAUAUUUUCACUGCAUCAAAUGCGUGCUCGUUAAGAUACCAGCAGACAAAAGCUAAUCCAGCACAAAUGAAUGCAUAAAAAGGUCACCAAAAUGCAGUAUUUGAAUCUCAUAAUUAAAUACAUAAUGAGGGGGAAAAAUGCAAAAAAACCUCCACUUUUUGAAAGUAAGACA